rnacentral:lncRNA from 10 species
GGUUCCUUAUCACAUGGCCACGAAAAAUUAGGCUCACAGACAAUUUGAAGCGAGAGGAGGGCAGGGUUUAUUGGGUGAAAUGGAAGAAAAGGGGAAACAGAGACUCUUAGCAAAGCGAGAGAGUGUGCUUCCUGCCACUGGGCUUCCCGCCUCACAGAUUGAAUCCCAGGUUCCACCCAGGAAGAGGAGGGGCCAAGCUCCUCCCGCUGCAAACGCGCGAACUUCUGUGGCUCGAUCCCAGUGCGCACUCCUCCCAGUGCACUGGCCGGUUGGAGUUUUGCCAGGGAGGCCUUCCCACCUGCCUGUCUCAAUGGAAAGAAUAUGUGGAUUUGGAUUCAGGGACACCUUUAUCACCUAUGUGACUUUAGAGCCAGCAAGCGUUCCUGAAGCAUUCAGAAUUGUCUAAUUUCACCAAAUGAAUGAUCCCUGAGGGAUACCAUGGAUCCUGCUGGUCUAGGAUUGGCUCCAGCUUUUUCUGGAUCUGCAUUUGCUGUGCAACCCUGCUCGGGGGCUGAGAGAUGCUCUGGAGCUGUCUAGGCUGGGUUGAGGCCUUAUCAGCAUUUUUUCAAGAUCAUAUUGAGCAGCUGCAUAUUUACUUUUAAACCAUUGUCACCUCAUCUCUAGCCUACUCUUGAGUUCUCAAUCAGUAUGAUGACGCUUUUAGUUCCAAAAUUUUAUAGCUACCCAUCACACCUAACCAUUGUUGGCUAAUAUAUCUGACCACACUGGCUCUGCAAGACCAUGGCUGAAGACUGCUUAAAUGUUGUCCCUGAGUCAAUAUCUUAACAUUUAUUGCAUCUUUUAUUUUCUUAACAAAAAUGAAGGCAUUUGUGACUGUGUUGUUUUCCAUCAAAAAUUGGGAAUCAUGCCCUUUCAUACAACACAGUUGUGACACAAUUUGUUGAAGUGAAAGAACACUGGAACAGAAACAAGAAUACCUGAGAUGGAGACUCACCUCUUACCAUCAAUCUAGUGUUGACUUUGGGUCCAUCUUUUCUUCUGGGGUAGUAGAAAGAUCAAGAUCAUCAGAGAACGUAGGGUGCAAUAUCAGCUCUCCAGUACCAAACACGGUUCAUUAACCUCUCGGAACCUCAGGUGUCUUGGGGCAUAGUUCAUGUCUCCUGGCCCAUCUCACAGGAUUAUCAGGAGGACGAAUGAGAUAAUUCUCAGGCUAAAGAAAAUAUCACCUAAUGCUUCUGAUAUACAGAAUUGUGUGCUGCAAAUGGUUGAAAAGAUUUUAGUUUCAACACCUAAUUCCCAUCAUUCUGUGGCAAAAUAUAUCUUGAGUUCUGAUGGGCGCCAGAACAACAUCUGAAGAUUGAAUGAAACUUCUAAAGUGAUAACAAGGCCCGUCCUGUACUUCACAGAAGACUUCUGAGGGUCAAAGAGAAGAUUUAUAGUUCUGGAGGUCAGAAGUCCAAGCUGAGUUUCACUGGCCCAAAUUCAAGGU